UCCUGCAGCUAUAGUGCUUACC
rnacentral:miRNA from 1 species